CAAAAGGCAAGAACAAAUCUCCAAUUUUAACACUUUUUCUUCCCAUCAUGCCCCUCUCUCCCUCAAGUGAUCGUCAUUCACACCACAGCAACCGAAUGCAAUUGAAAGCAGACGCCAAUGAUAAGUCGGAGGAAGCCAAAGGUCGGAUGGAACAUUAAUACAAUUGAUUAUUGUCUCCUUUUGACGCACACCAUUUAUUUUCCUCUCCUGACUCUUUGGCACAACAUUCAUCAGAGCAUUCUUCUCAAAUUUCGUAAAUCAAAGAAGCAAAGCGAAGAAGAAAACCAAGGGUGAAAAUGGUUUGGCUUCUAGGUCUUCUGAAGAGGAUUCUAAUGAUUGGUGGUAUGAGUUCUCCAAGCAGAUUGCUGGUAGCUACAACCUACAGAUUCGUUUGAGUACUAUGAUGUGGUCACAACCACCACCUACAAGAGUCUUAGGGGACCGAGAGCCGGUAUGAUCUGUCAAAACCACAGAAGAAGAUGCAGUUUAUGACAAGAUCAGUUUUGCUGUCUUCCCAACUCUGUAGGGUGGUUCACACAACCACCAGAUCGGUGCACUAGCUGUUGCAUUGAAACAAUCCAUGUCACCUGGAUUCAAGGUGCUUAUGCUUCCUUGACAACCAAUUCAACUGUUACAGCCACUACUGCUUAGACGCCAUCUGCGGUUGUUGUUUCUUUCAGUAAUGGGUCAGUCAUAACUAUAGUCUCUAAAUGUUCUUUUUGUGCAGAAUACUGUUGAUCACAAACAUCUUUAAUCGUUCUUUCCGUAUUUAUUAACGUUUUGAUUCAUUGGAACAAAAGAAAGAUUUGAUUGACAGGUUGAUUAUGGGAAAUUUGCUGCUAUGCUGAGGAAAGGAAGUGGUGGAAAUAGGGAGGAGAACAAUGAGGAGUAAUCUGAAAUUUGUUGGUAUUCCAUGUCCCUUCAUUCUACAAACCUUAGGGGUUAUUCGACGAAUUCAACCAACUUCAAAAUGAUACAGUUGGUGAUAUUGAGUGAAAGAAAGUGAGGAGAAGUAAGGAGCUGACGUGUCAACGGGGGGCGUGUCAUGACCUUGGCGGCAAUCCAACGCACUUUUGGCGGAAAAUGAGCCUCCUUUAAGUAUUAACGCGGGAAUCCGAUGAACAUGUGUAACCGACUCUGAUCUCAUUCGGUCUCAGUUUGAAGUGUGUUUAUGUGAGAAGAAAUCUGCUGUAUCUGGAUAUGGUGGGACGUCAAUACAAUUGCUUGAUUAACCCUCUCGGGGCCAUCCGAUAAACGUUUGAUAAGGCGGUGGCAUUUGGUGCAGAUCCGACAUCGUUUGACGGUAAAGAUUGGGGCGUAUCAGAUCUGUUUCGAGAAUAUCUUUUUCAAAAUGACGCCGUCAGUCAGGUGAUUCUAGGGUUUAUGAAUUUCAAAACGACGACUUUCUAGGGUUUAUGAUUGUGACUACUUUUUUAAAUCACCCUGCUGUUUUGCGGGUGCUGAUUUUUUCCUUAGUUGGAUUAUUUUUAUUUUAUUUUAUUUUAAAUAUUAUUGAUUCAUAAGUUAAAUGAGCUUGAAUUCUCAUAAGUUAAACGAUGGGACCAUCUUCUAGAAGAGAUGGUAUGUGACCAUCUUUGCAAAGUUUUUAUGGGACUAGCUGUCUAUUCCUCAUGAGACCAACAUCAAGUUGUUAGUUAUAGUUGAUGCUUUUAAGCAUUGGGAAUUGGGAUGCAUACAAGGUAGGAGUGAAGCCCACUUAGAUAUUUGUUGCAGAAUUUUUUACAAAAAAGAAGUUUGUUUGUCCUCAAGAUAUACUAUUUUGUAAGUUUUUUUGUCCAAGAUAUACCUGUACAGUGAAGUUUUUUAUACAUAUGUGCCCUUCAGGAUGACUCAAAAUUGUAUACAUUUUAUGAGCUUGUAACAAAAGGUUCCCUUCUAAGUCUCUAUCAAACAUACCAUCUUCAACAUUGUCAAGUUGCCUCAUACAUACGCCUAAUCCUACAUGAUCUGAAGUUUGUGCAUGACCGUCAUGAGGUGCGCAGGUGAUAAUUUUUCAAUGAGAGAAACUGACGACUCCCGUCGGUGGCCAGCGGUGACAAUUUGCUACAGUAAAGGAUUUCGGCACAAAUCACAGUGGUGGUCAGGUUCAAGGAUGUGGUUGAUAAACCUUAUAAGCAGGGAACGUUUGAGCGGAUAUGGGAAGUAACUGGUAGAAUAUGAUGGAUGAUAUGAAGAAUGUGGUCACAGGUGCCAGUCGGUGCCGAUCUGAAGAAUUUAAAGACUAAUGUUUGAACUAUUGAUUUAAAAAGGUAAAAGAUUCAAUACAAUAUUGUGUUGAAUACUAGAUUUUAGUUUGGAUUUAAAGCUGAUGUUGGGCUAGAUGAUGGAGCAUCGGUGUCAAAGGGGUUGUGGUUAAGAUUGGUAUCAAAGCUGCUGAGAAGAUUGGGCAAACAUGUGUAUAACUUCUUACGGAUUUUUCGUUAAAUGGAAUAAAAUGUUAGAAACUUGGAAUGGGUUGUGGUUCGGAAUAGGCAUCAUAAUUGAAUUUGAUAUCAGUUGGGACACCCGCCGCAACGCGCGGACUUUCCCACUAGUAUAAUAUAAAAGAUUUACUUGAUACU